AGAGUUUGAUUCUGGCUCAGGAUGAACGCUAGCGGCAGGCCUAAUACAUGCAAGUCGAACGGGAUGGUCGCCUUCGAGCGGCUUGAGAGUGGCGCACGGGUGCGCAACGCGUAUGCAACCAACCCCCCGACAGGCGGAUAGCCGGUGGAAACGCCGGAUAAUACGCCAUGGUUCCGGGUGAGGGCAUCCUCACGUGGAUAAAGCCGAGAGGCGGUCGGGGACGGGCAUGCGUCCCAUUAGGUAGUCGGCGGGGUGACGGCCCACCGAGCCCGUGAUGGGUAGGGGAUCUGAGAGGACGGUCCCCCACACUGGUACUGAGACACGGACCAGACUCCUGCGGGAGGCAGCAGUAAGGGAUAUUGGUCAAUGGGCGUAAGCCUGAACCAGCCAUGCCCGCGUGAGGGAAUGAGGCCCUACGGGUCGUGAACCUCUUUUAUUCGGGGACAAUGGCGGCGUCGAGAACGCUGUUUGAGGGUACCGAAGGAAUAAGCGUCGGCUAACUCCGUGCCAGCCGCUGC
rnacentral:rRNA from 1 species